AGCAGCCGCGGUAAUUCCAGCUCCAAUAGCGUAUAUUAAAGUUGUUGCAGUUAAAAAGCUCGUAGUUGAAUUUCGGGAUCAGCAGGUCGGUCGUGCCAAUGGUAUGCACUGGCCUUGCUGAUUCCUCCCUCUUGAUGAGCCGUAAUGCCAUUAAUUUGGUGUUGCGGGGAAUCAGGACUGUUACUUUGAAAAAUUAGAGUGUUUAAAGCAGGCAAGCGCUUGAAUACAUUAGCAUGGAAUAAUGAAAUAGGACGUUUGAUCCUAUUUUGUUGGUUUCUAGGAUUGACGUAAUGAUUAAUAGGGAUAGUUGGGGGCAUUAGUAUUCAAUUGUCAGAGGUGAAAUUCUUGGAUUUAUUGAAGACUAACUACUGCGAAAGCAUUUGCCAAGGAUGUUUUCAUUAAUCAAGAACGAAAGUUAGGGGAUCGAAGACGAUCAGAUACCGUCGUAGU
rnacentral:rRNA from 1 species